rnacentral:rRNA from 1 species
GACGAACCGUGCGAACGUUGUUCGGAUUCACUGGGCUUAAAGGGCGCGUAGGCGGGCCGGCCAGUCUGUGGUGAAAGCCCCCAGCUCAACUGGGGAAGUGCCGUGGAUACUGCCGGUCUUGAGGAGGGUAGGGGCAUCUGGAACGCUGGGUGGAGCGGUGAAAUGCGUUGAUAUCCAGCGGAACUCCGGUGGCGAAGGCGAGGUGCUGGACCCUUUCUGACGCUGAUGCGCGAAAGCCAGGGGAGCAAACGGG